rnacentral:tRNA from 1 species
GCCCGGGUGGCGGAGCGGCUACGCAGCCGGCUGCAGACCGGCGUAGGGGGGUUCGACUCCCUCCCCGGGCU